rnacentral:rRNA from 1 species
AACGAACGCUGGCGGCAGGCCUCAAACAUGCAAGUCUAGGGGGUGCAGCAAUGCAUCACCGGCGGACGGGUGCGUAACGCGUGGGAAUAUACCUUUUGGUUCGGAACAACUGCGGGAAACUGCAGCUAAUACCGAAUGUGCCCUAACGGGGAAAGAUUUAUCGCCAAAGGAUUAGCCCGCGUAGGAUUAGCUAGUUGGUGAGGUAAUGGCUCACCAAGGCUCCGAUCCUUAGCUGCUGAGAGGAAGAUCAGCCACACUGGGACUGAGACACGGCCCAGACUCCUACGGGAGGCAGCAGUUGGGAAUCUUGGACAAUGGGGGAAACCCUGAUCCAGCCAUGCCGCGUGAGU